UACGAAGGGUGCAAGCGUUAAUCGGAAUUACUGGGCGUAAAGGGUGCGUAGGCGGUUCGUUAAGUCUGUCGUGAAAUCCCCGGGCUCAACCUGGGAAUGGCGAUGGAUACUGGCGAGCUAGAGUGUGUCAGAGGAUGGUGGAAUUCCCGGUGUAGCGGUGAAAUGCGUAGAGAUCGGGAGGAAUACCAGUGGCGAAAGCGGCACCCUAGCGUUAGCCUGACGCUCAUGUGCGAAAGCGUGGGGAGCGAACGGG
rnacentral:rRNA from 1 species